UUUAUGUGCAUAUGUGGAGCUAUAGAGAUAUAUGUGGCAGCUAUGUGAGUAACUACUUAAAAUUUUUAUUUUAACUUUGGACAUGGUUGGUGAUUAGAAAGGAUGUAGUUUUGUUGUUCAAUGAAUGGAAAAUCUGUGAAGUGUAUGUACUAUAUUUGGUGGGAUAACAACUUUGGUUAUUUAUUAGAGUACACCAGGCCACCCAAACACUGCUAUGUAAUUGUUAAAUGAUCUAAUUUAUUUGCUCAACUGAGUCACCCGUGGGCAGUCCCAAAUGCCAUUACUACUAUGACACUAGCUUUUCAUUUGGUUUCCAACUUUUUAACCAAUGGUAUGAUAAUUAUGGUCUUGUUUUUGAGGAAGUCUUUGAGGACAGCUUGUUUACCUCGUCAUUACUUAUUGUAUACAUCAUACAAGCAACAUGCUUUGUUUUUGGCCUUGGUCCGAAAGUGACUAAUUAGUUCUAUUUUUUGUCUUAUCUAUGUUCUUUUCUUUCUGCGAAAUCUAGAAUAAGAUGAUUGACAUGUCACAAAUCAUCUACUCUUUCUGAGCCUCUGUUUUGUAGAUUUAUGUUAUACCAAAUAUCAAUGGUUGAAUUUUCUAUAUUGAUUGCAUGACAAGUUUGCUUUUUAAGGUGGUAAAGGGGAUCAAAUAAUGAAAGUCAAUAUAAGUUGAUUUUUUAUUUUUCUUUUAUUUAGUUGGAUCUGCUACCACCUGUACUCAUUCUUCAGAUCUUUGAAGUCUGUAGCCAUGAUUAUUGUUUCAAAGUUGUUGUCAUUGUGGUAUUUUGGAGUGGUUAGAUCACUUUUAAUUCUAAUAAAAAAAGAUCACUUUUUGAUGUUCUGUAGUCCCUGCUCAAACCCCUUAAUUAAAACUGAUGAAUCUUUCCUUUUGUCAUACAUUGUUUGUCUAUUAUUAUGACCAUGUUUCUAAGGUGGAACGUCUUUGGUAAGCAAGUUGUUUUGCUACCCAUUUAUAUAUUAAUUGUUAAAAAUAGGUGUUGAAUUUGGUGAUAUCAUUACUUGAACUAAAUAUUUGGAUGUGGUUCUGUGGUUAUUUGAGCAUGCUAGUGAUGUUUUUGGAACAAAUUAUUUCUCGGUUCAUUUUUGCAGUUAUAUAAAUGUUCCCUGCCUCUAUCUGUAUAAUUUAUUAUAUAUAUAUAUGUGUGUGUGUGUGUGUGUGUGUGUGUGUGUGUGUGUGUGUGUGUGCAAAAUGUAAAAUUGCAAGCAUCCUAUUAUUUGGUGGCUUGAGGAGAGUUAGACACACAUAAAAAUUAAAACAUUUAUCUGUGCGGUGAAUGGAUUGAGAAUUGAACUAGCAGCCCCUUUAACUUGUUCAAAAUGUAAGGCACUUACCAUUGCGCUACCUCUUGUAUUGUUUAAAAUUUUCUUUCUAUUAUUAUAAGUAUAUGCAAAAUAUGCAUUAAGCAAAUAUGAAUCAUGGAAGCUUGAUUUUGCUCUAAAUAUGGCUCUAUGUAAUAGUUAAUGCAUAAAACUGAUUUAAAUGCUCCAUAGGUGCUCUCACUUCCAAGAUAUUUUCAUCAAGGACAUGAGGACACUCUCCCACUCUCGCUCCACUCACUAGCAGGUGGGGUAACUUGGUCUUUUGGUAAAGAGUAUAUUCCCUUGUGUUAAUAUGGAAAUUUUAGGAGUCACAUGACCAUUAAUUUGUUAUUAAUGUAACAUUUUUCAGGUUUUUAUUUUUUUGGGUCAGAUUGAUGAAAUGAAAUAUAUGAAGGCUGAGUUACCAAGGAAUUAGAUCUGGUUGUUACCUGUUAGAACCAACUUCUAUUAUAAUUACAUGUACAAGUGCCCAUCUAACUUAUAGAUUUGUUUAAUUUGCUGAUCAAGGUAAUUUAUGACAAAAAUGUCCCAUUAGUAAAGUUCUUAGACAUAGCUAUAAGCUGUUCAUGGCAUACAUUUUGGAACAUAGAAAAUAUUUGAGAGGGUUUCAUAUGCCCUAACACUUCAUCUGUUGAUUUUGUGUUUCAAAUUCUAGUUGAUGAUAUUGGUGAUGUAACAAUUACUAAUGAUGGUGCUAUAAUACUCAAGAUGUUAGAAGUUGAGCAUCCUGUUGCAAAGGUGGAAGAUUAAAGCAUCCAUUUGGCUGAGCUUCAAGACCAAGAAAUUAGAAAUGGGACAACUUCUGUGGUUAUUAUAGCUACUGUAAAGUUAGAGGAAGCGAGCUAAGAUUGCAUAGAAGAAGAGAAUUGCAAAGGCCAAGGAAGAGGCAGUCGAAUACCACAAACUCCUCGCCACUAGGUGCCAGCAGCAGUGGACGAAGGGGAUGGGCGAGUGGGAGUAGUUGGCCCCUUCCAAUCGAAGGGUUUUAUGGAAGGACUAGAACAAUGGGAGCUUAUAGUGAUGCCAGGACGACAUCUUAUGCUUAUUAGUAUUUAUUUUUGGAUGGUUAGAACUAAAAUGUGUAAUGGGAGUAGUUGGUUUUUCCUAUAUUAUGUAUGAAAUUAAAUUAUUGACGUUGGAUUAGUCUUGG